AGCAGCCGCGGUAAUUCCAGCUCCAAUAGCGUAUAUUAAAGUUGUUGCAGUUAAAAAGCUCGUAGUUGAAUUUCGGGGUCAGUAGGUUGGUCGUGCCACNGGUANGUACUGGUCUCACUGAUUCCUCCUUCCUGAUGAGCUGUAAUGCCAUUAAUUUGGUGUUGCAGGGAAUCUGGACUGUUACUUUGAAAAAAUUAGAGUGUUUAAAGCAGGCUAACGCUUGAAUACAUUAGCAUGGAAUAAUGAAAUAGGACGUUCGAUCCUAUUUUGUUGGUUUCUAGGAUUGACGUAAUGAUUAAUAGGGAUAGUUGGGGGCAUUAGUAUUCAAUUGUCAGAGGUGAAAUUCUUGGAUUUAUUGAAGACUAACUACUGCGAAAGCAUUUGCCAAGGAUGUUUUCAUUAAUCAAGAACGAAAGUUAGGGGAUCGAAGACGAUCAGAUACCGUCGUAGUCUUAACCAUAAACUAUGCCGACUAGGGAUCGGAUGAUGUUAAUUUUUUAAUGA
rnacentral:rRNA from 1 species